rnacentral:rRNA from 1 species
GCGGUUAAAAAGCUCGUAGUUGGAUUUCUGUUGAGGAUGGGCGGUCCGCACAUCGUGCGUGUAUCUGUUACAGCCUCGGCAUCCUCUUGAAGAACGAACUGUGAUUCAUUUCGUGGUUCGGAAUUCAAGACUUUUACUUUGAGGAAAUUAGAGUGUUCACGGCAAGCAAUCGCUUUGAAUACAUUAGCAUGGAAUAAUAAUAUAGGACCUUGGUACUAUUUUGUUGGUUUCUAGAACUAAGGUAAUGAUUAAUAGGGAUAAUUGGGGGCAUUCGUAUUAACGCGUCAGAGGUGGAAUUCUUGGAUUGCGUUACGACGAACUACUGCGAAAGCAUUUGCCAAGGAUGUUUUCAUUGAUCAAGAACGAAAGUAUGGGGAUCGAAGACGAUUAGAUACCGUCGUAGUCUAUACCAUAAACUAUGCCAACUAGAGAUUGGAGGUCGUAUUUUCUAUGACUCCUUCAGCACCUUAUGAGAAAUCAAAGUUUUUGGGUUCCGGGGGGAGUAUGGUCGCAAGGCUGAAACUUAAAGGAAUUGACGGAAGGGCACCACCAGGAGUGGAGCCUGCGGCUUAAUUUGACUCAACACGGGGAAAACUUACCAGGUCCAGACAUAAUAAAGGAUUGACAGAUUGAUAGCU